UUUUAAUUUAAUGUAAUUUAUUUUAUAGAAAUGUGAAUAAUUUUAGACAGGGAAGAAAAGGUGCUUCUAUGUCGGAUCAGCUCAACUUUGUGCUAAUAGCAGCUGUUGUAUCUUUUGCCUGUUGAGAGGGAGGAAAAAAGAGGACAUCUGGGCUGGGUGGAGUCCUUGAUUAUGCCAGCUGGAACUGGAACAAGUAGAUAAGUGGUCAUUAACUGAGGAUAAAGACAUACAGAACCUGACUUUUUCAAAGAUGUCGACCGAGCAAGCAUCGUACGCUGACACCUUCUUGACCGGAAGUACAAGAACGCGCCCAGCAUGUCCGGAGGGUUCUCAGAUUGCUCCUCGAAAAUAACCUGUAUGCCAAGCCCAAGAAAUGUGAGUUCCACGAAGACCAGGGGUCAUUUUUGGGCUAUAUACUUACCCCAUCCAGUGUGCAAAUGGACCCUAGUAAAGUUCAGGCCAUUAAAGAGUGGCCCAAACCAUCUACGGUCAAACAGGUACAGCACUUCAUGAGGUUUGCAAACUUUUAUCAUUACUUCAUCUGGAAUUUUGUUUUAUCACAGCUCCUAUAAAUGCACCCACUAGGAGAACUCCGUUGCAGAGACGAUGCCAAACAAGCAUUUUCAGAGUUAAAGUGAUGUUUCACCACUCUCCAGUGCUGCAACAUCCAAACCCAUCGCAACCAUUCAAUAGUUGAGGUGGAUGCAUCUGAUGUUGGCAUUGGAGCUGCCCUCUCUCAUUGCUUUACUGCAGUAGCCAUCCGCACCCCUGUGCCUUUCUUUCCCAUCACUUGACUCCAGCUGAGAGUAACUACAAUGUUGGGAACCAUUAACUUCUGGCUCUCAAGGAGGCCCUGGAGGAAUGGUGACACUGGCUGGAAGGGGCAGAGCAUCUUUUCUGGGUCUGGACAAAUCAUAAGAACCUCUCCUACAUUCAAGAUGCAAAGAGACUUAUCUCCCAUCAAGCCUGGUGAGCUCUCUUCUUCACUCAGUUUAAUUUCAUCCUUACCUAUCCUCCCGGCAGCAAGAAUACCAAGGACGACUCUCUCUCCCAGCAGCUCGGAUCUGAGGACAAUACCGAUCCGAUCCUUCCUCACUCAUGUAUUGUUGCUCCAGUGAUCUGGGGAAUAGAUGUGGAAGUGAGGACCGCCCAGCGGUCAGACUCAGACCCAGGUGGGGGAUCUGCCAACCAACUGCUUGUCCCUGCUGCAGUAUGCCAAAAAGUUGGAAUUGGAAUUGAGAUCACUCUUCCCGUCUGGCUGGACAUCCGGGAAUUCAAUGGACUCAGGAGUUUAUAAAGAGACAAUUUUGGUGACCAUUUAUGUCCCAGGAUAUCCACAACUUCGUAUCUGACUGACCCACCUGCACUCAGAACAAUAUGUCACAACAGCAUCCUGCAGGUCUACGAUGUCCGCUGCCUGUGCCACUGCCCCGGUCCCACUUCUCAGUGGAUUUCAUCACUGGGCUGCCCCUGUCUAAUGGAAACACCUCCAUUUUGAAUGUUGUGGGUUGAUUUUCCAAGACUGCCCACUUCAUUGCCCCCCACUAAGCUCCCGUCAGCUCGUGGGACUGCCACACUCAUGUUUCAGCAUGUGUUCAGGCUCCACAGUUUCCUUCAAGACAGUCUCUGAUCGUGGACCACAGUUCACUUCCUGCUUUUGGAAGGGUUUCUGCUCUCUUGUAGAAGGUCUGGUUUCCACCCCCAGUCCAAUGGCCAUACUGAGAGAGUGAACCAGGAGUUGGAGACAACCCUGAACUGUCUUGCAUCUUCCAACCCCACAUCCUGGACCUCCCAAUUGGUUUGGACAGAGAUUGCCCACAAUAUCCUCCAGUCAUCCUCCACGGGCAUGUUCCCUUUUGAAAGCCAGAAGGGAUUCCAACCCCAACUCUUCUCCGACCAGGAGAUUGAUGUAGGGGUUCCUGCUGCUGAACAGCUGAUCCAGCACUACAAGCUCACCUGGAGACGAGCCAAGGCUUCACUGCUGUGCACCCAGAAACAACGUGCCCACCAGUCUGAUUGGUACAGUGUCUCAGGCUUCUCGCUUAAGAGUCCAACAAUAAUUCGCCAGCAUUGAUGGAUUCCAGUUGCCCUGGUAUCUUUUCUCCAUGGCCGCAAUGUUUUGGUGAAACCUUUCACCAUGUUCGUCACUAACAACACCAAGAUUUGCAGGGAAGAAGUCUAAAUGGGAAUUCAGAAAAUGAGUCUUUAGUGACAUGUUGUAUUUCAUGGUUUUAUAUGCUUGAAGCAUGCGUUCAACCAGCUGCAUGUAGUUUGGUGCUCUGUAGAUGCCAAGAAAAAUUUCGACAACUUCCUUGAAUGCCUUCCAUGUGAUUUUCUCCAGUCUCACUAGAAAUUCUUCAAAUUGCCUGUUAUUGAUGACCUGUUUAAUUUGUGGACCAACAAAAAUGCUUUCCUUAAUCUUGGCAUCAGUUAUUCUGGGAAGCAUCUGUCUCAAAUAUCAAAAUCCUUCAUAGAAAUUUUUGUGCCUGGUGAUAGCAAAUUCCAUCCUGACAGACCUGAACCCAAUAAUUAUUAUUAAAACCUGUCCUGCCAUACAGCAGCCAUGCUGCCUAAGCAUGUCCAAGCAUGCCUGGACAAGAUAGGAAACUUUCCAGCUUACAUUGUAGGCAACAUUUUAAUUGACUUGAAUUAUGAAUUGAAAUUAAGCAUAAGUGAUUUCAAAAAAUGGUGCAUGAUAAGGAAAUUUCAUGGAGAUUUUCAUGAUCAGUAGCCCAAAAUUCAUAAGAUACACCUAAAGGUAUUCAGGAAGCAAAAUCUUUGUUGUCCAGUGUUAUUAUUCUUGUAGGUUAUAUUUCCUAUGCUUGCUUGUAUUUUCAUAUUAUUGCCCAUAUACAGUACAUGUAAAUGUUCAGUGAAUUUUCCAGCAGCUGCAGUACAGUUGCUUCUGUAUUUUUCUAGAAAUAAAGCUUUCAGAAGCUGAUGUCAUGCCACUGGAAUCUGGCUACUUUAUAGGUUAAUGUUCAUCAUUGGAACUUGCUGCUAUUUCUAGUCUGAUGUGAGAUAACCACGACUAUUUUGUCUCUAGACUUUUAUUUAUUUCCUCAAAACUUCUUGUUGUCUUCUUUGCUCUUGUAAUCUUAAAUAAAAGCAG